CUGGAGCGGACGGACGGACGGACGGACAGAUGGCCGGCAUCCCCGACGGAGGGAUGUUUCUGUCUUUGGUUAUCUAGCUGUAUGAGUGUUGUGGAGCCAUCAUAAAGCUAGAUAACCGAAAGUAGAAAUGACUUCCAGACCUGCUCGCCCGGGGGAAGCGGCCGCACCAGGACCGGCGGUGCAGAGACGGCCCGACUCGCCGCCUUGGGGCUCCAGGGCCAGCAAAGCACCGCCAUAACCACAGUAAGGAAAAAGGAUCUCAGCCUGAAUUUGGCUAUACCGGGAGAAAGAAAAGUUCUGAGGAGCUGUUAUUAUAUAUUCUAAUGAGAAGUCAUUGGAGAAAUUAAAAAGGGCAGAGAAAGACGAAGACGCCAGCACUAAUUCCGCAGGAAGCCUCCCAGGGAAAAGGCUGUGUGAGUGUGAACGCUGAAAAGCAUGAAGGCCUGGAAUUAGACUAUCAUUUAGAAAGCGUUACUAAUCCGAAGUUACAGCAGUAAUUCCAUGAUUUGCUGGGUCCCACACGCAGCGCCAGAAUUAAAGAUACGGAUUUUCUAGAAAUGUAACUCAACUGUGGCACCGAGUCUCGGGAAGAUCCGAAUGAAUCAUUCAUUCCAAAGGCAGCGAAAGACGUGUCAUUAAGAACCAUCCUCCUUCUCUCCAGCCCAUCUGGAAUAUGUAUACUCGAUGCAAUCCCAGAAAUUGUGGAAGAGAUUGGAGGUGGGGAGGAGGGAAUGUAGUCCUUUCCCUCCUUUAUUAUGUUGGUUAUUUUUAAGAAAUAAUUUUCCAAUUAUUUUCACAAUAUUGUGAGUGGUGCUCAAUUCUUCUCCUAUUUAUUUUUUUCCCCCUUUCCUACGCCAGCAUCGAGUCAGGUGCAAGCGGUUUCAGUGGAGAUGCUUUAAAACUAGACUGAACAAAGCAGGAGGGAACUGAGCAAGGUGGUUGAUGAAUGCAUUUAUUCCGGAGUAAUGAUUUGAUGGGGGAUGGAGGAAAGAAACAUUCAAAUUCCUAAUGAAUAUAAUUCAGGAGGAAUCAUUCAACCAGCGUGUUAGAGAAAAUCUGUUUGGUGGGAGUGUUUCUGCACUGGCAGAACCCAGGAGGUAUUUCUGUCCUUGGCUUUUGUAAUUGCAAAAGGUGAAAAUAUAAAAAGAGGAUCUGAGGAAAAAAAAAUAUACACACAUAUAAUAAAUGUCUUUGUGUGUGUGUAUAUAAAUACAUAUAUAUAUAUAAUUUCAUGAAAUAAAAUGCAAGUGUGG